rnacentral:rRNA from 1 species
UACGGAGGGUGCAAGCGUUAUCCGGAUUCACUGGGUUUAAAGGGUGCGUAGGUGGGCAGGUAAGUCAGUGGUGAAAUCUCCGGGCUUAACCCGGAAACUGCCGUUGAUACUAUCUGUCUUGAAUGUAGUGGAGGUGAGCGGAAUAUGUCAUGUAGCGGUGAAAUGCUUAGAUAUCCGGAGGAACACCGGUGGCGAAGGCGGCUUCCUGGACCGACACUGACGCUGAGGCGCGAAAGCUAGGGGAGCAAACGGG